UGUUCUAUAACCGUUUAGUUUAAAGUUGUUGUUUAGAGUUGUUGUUGGAUUACAACACACGUAACAUGGUUAUAUGCUGUGUGGUCCAGCUUCAUGUGAGCUUUUCCUUUGUUGGACGAGGCUCU